AAGGCUGUCUUGGAAAAGGAAAAGGGAAACGGUGCCAACUACUUUUUAAGGUUCAAUAAUAAUCUUUCUUAGUGACUAAUUAUAGAGUUCAAGUUCUUUCAUAAGUCUUCUGGUAAUCUUGAUUUAUUUCUCCAAUAUGAGAUAUAUGGCUUCUUUUAAGAGUAUUAUGUUAAACCUGGCUUUUCUGUUUAUGAUUCUAUUGUCAAUGAAAGUAGCAGCAACGGCAAGGGUACCAUUAUGGAAAAUUAAGCCUCAUCAUCACAAAGAAGCAUAUGAACGCCUACUUAAUUCUGUUAGUGUUAAUGAUCGACCACGCUUCCAUAACUAUGGUGUUCCUCCUCCUCCUGCACCAAUCAGUUGAUCCUCCAAGCACCAGAAUCGUAACAAUGGCAGAAAAGUAUGUUGGCAACGAACAUGAGAGCAAAAUAAAGAUCCAAGCAAAACUUGUAUAAGAAUUUUAUAAGUUGUCUCCAAGUACCUAUUUUAUUUUUACUAGUUUUAAUUAUUUAUGUCUAAUUUGUUUCUUUCUACAUCUGUUGUACAAUUCACAAAUCAUCAUUUUGAUGGUGUGUUACUCAAAUUUGCAAAAUUUAUGUGUAGACCAUAUCCAACUCUUGA